rnacentral:rRNA from 1 species
AGUGAACGCUGGCGGUAGGCCUAACACAUGCAAGUCGAACGGCAGCACAGUAAGAGCUUGCUCUUACGGGUGGCGAGUGGCGGACGAGUGAGGAAUACAUCGGAAUCUACUUUUUCGUGGGGGAUAACGUAGGGAAACUUACGCUAAUACUGCAUACGACCUACGGGUGAAAGCAGGGGAUCUUCGGACCUUGCGCGAUUGAAUGAGCCGAUGUCGGAUUAGCUAGUUGGCGGGGUAAAGGCCCACCAAGGCGACGAUCCGUAGCUGGUCUGAGAGGAUGAUCAGCCACACUGGAACUGAGACACGGUCCAGACUCCUACGGGAGGCAGCAGUGGGGAAUAUUGGACAAUGGGCGCAAGCCUGAUCCAGCCAUACCGCGUGGGUGAAGAAGGCCUUCGGGUUGUAAAGCCCUUUUGUUGGGAAAGAAAAGCAGCAGGUUAAUACCCCGCUGUUCUGACGGUACCCAAAGAAUAAGCACCGGCUAACUUCGUG